rnacentral:lncRNA from 1 species
AACGGAUAAAUUUCACACAGAUAAUCUCACACAAUACUAAAUCAAUUCUAAUUAUUCAAUGUAUCAAAAUAAUGAAGUACAUCACUAUUUAUAAUACUCCUAGACAACUUUCAUAACCUAAAUUGGACUCUAAUAAGAUAACAACAAAUUAAAGAAACUAAUUAAAAUAGAACUUCUAAUUCAUAGGCUUUCAAAACCUUUUAUAUUGUUCUAACCAACUUUCAGGGCUCGUCCUGCAUCACGAUACUUUUCGAUACACAAUACGAUUCACGAUUUGACAACUAUGCUUAAAAGUUACAAAGACAUGUAAAUGCAAGUAUAUACAUGAACACCAACCCAUAACAACAUACUAAUGAGUAAGCACCAAAACACAAAAUUAACAACAAUCAAAUGGGUCCAAGCAAGUAAAAACAUUAACACCCAGAACAACAACAAUCAAAUUGAGCAAGCAAGAAAACACAACAUUAACUUGUAAUCAUUUGGGUCCAAGCAAGUAUAUACAUGAACACCCUGGGUACGCACAAAAACACAUAAUUAACAGCUUAUAAUCAUUUGUGUCCAUGCAAGUAUAAAUGAACACCCAAAACAACAAACAAAUGGGUAAGCACGAAAACACAAAAUUAACAGCUUAUAAUAAUUUGGGUCCAAAUUACCUAAGCAAUUCUGGUAAAUAUAUUUUGGGUUGAAAUUACCAUAGCAAUUCUGGUAAAUUUAAAUUAUUCUCAUUGCUUUAUAGUUGAAAGGUGA